rnacentral:rRNA from 1 species
UACGGGGGGGGGAAGCGUUGUUCGGAAUUACUGGGCGUAAAGGGCUCGUAGGCGGCCAACUAAGUCGGACGUGAAAUCCCUCAGCUUAACUGGGGAACUGCGUCCGAUACUGGAUGGCUUGGAUUCGGGAGAGGAAUGCGGAAUUCCAGGUGUAGCGGUGAAAUGCGUAGAUAUCUGGAGGAACACCGGUGGCGAAGGCGGCAUUCUGGACCGACAUUGACGCUGAGGAGCGAAAGCCAGGGGAGCAAACGGG